rnacentral:rRNA from 1 species
AGCAGCCGCGGUAAUUCCAGCUCCAAUAGCGUAUAUUAAAGUUGUUGCAGUUAAAAAGCUCGUAGUUGAAUUUCGGGAUCAAUUAAUUGGUCGUGCCUCUGGUACGUACUGAUUUUAUUGGUUUCUCCCUUCUGACGAACCAUGAUGUCAUUAAUUUGGUGUCGUGGAGAAUCAGGACUGUUACUUUGAAAAAAUUAGAGUGUUUAAAGCAAGCUAACGCUUGAAUACAUUAGCAUGGAAUAAUGAAAUAGGACGUUUGAUCCUAUUUUGUUGGUUUCUAGGAUCGACGUAAUGAUUAAUAGGGAUAGUUGGGGGCGAUUAGUAUUCAAUUGUCAGAGGUGAAAUUCUUGGAUUUAUUGAAGACUAACUACUGCGAAAGCAUUUGCCAAGGAUGUUUUCAUUAAUCAAGAACGAAAGUUAGGGGAUCGAAGACGAUCAGAUACCGUCGUAGUCUUAACCAUAAACUAUGCCGACUAGGGAUCGGAUGAUGUUAAUUUUUUAAUGACUCAUUCGGCGCCUU